rnacentral:rRNA from 1 species
GGCACGGGAUGACUAGCAUGCGAGUCAUUGUAGUAAUACAAGGCAGACGGCUCAGUAACGCGUAGUCAACCUACCCUAUGGACGGGGAUAACCUCGGGAAACUGAGAAUAAUACCCGAUAGAACAUUAUGCCUGGAAUGGUUUAUGUUUCAAAUAAUUUAUUGCCGUAGGAUGGGACUGCGGCCUAUCAGUUUGUUGGUGAGGUAAUGGCCCACCAAGACUAUUACAGGUACGGGCUCUGAGAGGAGUAGCCCGGAGAUGGGUACUGAGACACGGACCCAGGCCCUAUGGGGCGCAGCAGGCGAGAAAACUUUGCAAUGUGCGAAAGCACGACAAGGUUAAUCCGAGUGGUUUCUGCUAAAGGAACCUUUUGUCAGUCCUAGAAACACUGGUGAAUAAGGGGUGGGCAAGUUCUGGUGUCAGCCGCCGCGGUAAAACCAGCACCUCAAGUGGUCAGGAUGAUUAUUGGGCCUAAAGCAUCCGUAGCCUGCUUUGUAAGUUUUCGGUUAAAUCCAUACGCUCAACGUAUGGGCUGCCGGGAAUACUGCAAAGCUAGGGAGUGGGAGAGGUAGACGGUACUCGGUAGGAAGGGGUAAAAUCCUUUGAUCUAUUGAUGACCACCUGUGGCGAAGGCGGUCUACCAGAACACGUCCGACGGUGAGGGAUGAAAGCUGGGGGAGCAAACCGGAUUAGAUACCCGGGUAGUCCCAGCUGUAAACUAUGCAAACUCAGUGAUGCAUUGGCUUGUGGCCAAUGCAGUGCUGCAGGGAAGCCGUUAAGUUUGCCGCCUGGGAAGUACGUACGCAAGUAUGAAACUUAAAGGAAUUGGCGGGGGAGCACCACAAGGGGUGAAGCCUGCGGUUCAAUUGGAGUCAACGCCGGG